GAAAAGCAACUCAGAGGUUACUUAGUGAGACCUAAUUGUAUUAACUUUACAUAUGAAGAAAUGGAAUCAAGAUGAAAACAUCUUCAAUGGUUUACCCAAGAUUGCAUUGUAUCUCAUGUCAUAAAUUAAUCCAAUCUUUAAAACCCAUCAUUUCUUUUACCCAUCCAUUCAUUUACUAGGUAAGUAUUUGUUGUGCAUCUCCUGUGUGCUAAGCAUCACGCUCUACCGUGGGAAUACAACGAUUAAGACCCAGUCCCCUGCCCACGGAGAGCCCUGUGCGUUUAUGGAUAAGACAGGCAAGAUGGCAGGCAAUGACAGAGUCUUGAGAUAAAGUCACAUGGCUACACCUGGCUGUUCUCUAGACGCCUCAGAAAGAGGAAAUGAUUCAGGCAUUGAGCGUUCUGGGAAGGACUCAUCUGAUUUUUAAUACUUCAUUAUUAAAAUGUUAAGCAACAGAAACAUGCUUUGACUUAGGGAGAUCCAAAAAACCUACAUUUGAUUUCAAAUUCUGCUACAUGCUUGCUCUAUGACCUUAAACAAAUGACUUAGCCUUUCGGAGUUUCCUUAUCUUUAAAUGGGGAUAAUAAUAUGAACCCCAGGAUAUUUGACAAAAUUAUAUAGUAAAUACAGAAUUCUAAGUACUGAAUAAGUAAUUGUUGCUAUUCCAUACACUUAUUUAAAACUUAGCCUCUUGGGAAAAGCAUAUGGUAAAACUCAGGCUUCUUCUACACCCGUGUCUUUCAGGAUGGGGGAGAAAAUGGCAGAGGGGCUCAAACACAAGGCUUAGCCCCCACCUAUUCUGUGCUCUUUCCACCCAAACACAUGGAAUCAAGCUGCCACGGAAGCAGAAGCCUGGGGAGAACAGGAAACAAAAACGCAGAGAUACUGAGUUCACGAGUGACUGCAGUGUUAGAAGAGGUGUGGGGCUGAAUGGGAGUGUGGGGACAUGUUAGAAAAUCGCUCUCAGAGGAGUUACCACAAAGAAAAGCUUUCUUUCUGAUUUUUACAUCCCAUCACUCAAAUUACUGUAACCUACAAAAUUCAUGAAUAUGCACUAGUUCCCCAUUGCACUAGGUAUUUGGUGGGGCAUGAAUUCAGAUUCUGAGAGGUGAAUAAGUCCAACAACACCUUGACUUCUUAAAUUCUAACUCUGUAAAUUUGCAGAUGAGAAACCAAAGUCCAUAGAGGUGAAGUGACAUGAUUAUAGUCAUUUAGAAGACAAUGAGAUGGGCUUAGAUGUGUGAGGACUUCAUAAAUCCAUGUGUGAAAGAGAAUGGGUGAGGGGCCAGGGUAAGACCUUGCAGCAAGUCUGACCAGUGAAAGAGGGAGGGAGGUAAGGUUGGAUGGCGGCGUCCCAGAGGGCCAUGCACCCAGAGGAAGGUUUAGGAGAGCUGUGAAGCAAACGUCAGAGAAGCCCUGGUCUUCCAGCACCGGGCUGGCCUUAGGGCCCCUGCUGUCCUCAGUCAUUGGCUGGGAGAACCAGGGAAAAGCAAAUGUCGAGAAAGAUUUCAGAGGCAGACGCCGGGGUUUUUGUUCACGUGUGCUUCCAUAAUUGGGGGUCUGUGCUACUCAUGGCUACCAGGGUCCACCAUGGGUAGGGGUUCUCACUGACCACACACUGCAGGAGCAGCUCCUCCAGGGCCCCUAUGGGGCUUUCUGCAGAGGGAGACACAGCUGAGGGAGGCAGGUGGGAUGGGCUGUAGGCCACAUUGCUGUCAUUCACUUGGGGCCCCAGCUGGUACUAAUCAUCCCCUAACCCUGCUACUCAUUCUAAAUGUCCCUCACCCUCAGCACUUUGGCAGGGCUCAGUGGCUUGUCUGAUGGCAUGACCCGAAGGAUCACACCCUUGGUCAUCGUGUUCUUCUCAUCCAAGCUUGCUGAGAGCACCCAUUUACCUCUACGGUGGAACCCGGGUAUACCAGGAGGCACCCGAGUGGAGCCCUAGGCAUGUUCCUCCCUGCCCCACUGUGUACAAGCAGCCACAGCUCCUCUCAAUGACCAGGGUCCAUUUCCUCAGCCACCUCCUGAGGACAGCUCCGGAAGCAGGGUUACUUGGUGUCUCACAGUCAAGUAGCCUGCCUUCACCAAGGCCAGCAGCACCCAAGAAACAUUUCUCAAGGCUGCCUAAUCCUCUGUUGCAGAUGGCAAGGCCUUGCUCCCGCAUCCCAGGAGCCUGUGUUGUGGCUCUUCUGUGGAACUACUGGAAGCUCCAAGCUGCCUCUGAUCCCUACUGAUGCCUCCAGCACCAUAGGGUCUGCAAGAUUGUGUGGCCCCAGCAGUAGGGAUGAAUGCACCACAGCUUGGACCCACAGCACAGCCCUUUCCUGCCCACCACGGUAUACCUGGAAGCCUUCUGUGUCACACACAAUCUAGGAAUGGGAUGAGUUGCCACCAGAACCCAGGCACCAUGCUUACUUCUUUGUAGUAGUUAAUGCAAAAUGCAGUGACUUAUCUUUCACUGUGGAGCAAAAUCCUCGCACUCCUUAAUUUCUGGCCCCUAAAAUCUUCACUGGAGUGGUCAACUCCCGAGUCUUUGCAGGGUUUACCCCCUACCUGCAGCAUCACAUGUGUCUUCCUUACUCUCUCAGUGCAUGAGCCCCCUCUUGUUUCUUUCGUUCAGUCUGCAUGAAGUCAUUGAUCAUUACAGUAUUCUACAGUUAGGCCAAGCAGUCCAGGACUGCUCAUGCUGUGCCUAGUGUUGGUUCGUGGGUUCGUGGUCUCAUCUUGCUGACUUCAAGAAUGAAGCAGCAGACCUUCACGGUGAGUGUUACAGCUCUUAAAGAAGGCAUGGACCCAAAGAGAGAGCAGUAGCAAGAUUUAUUGUGAAGAGUGAAAAAACAAAGCUUCCACAGGUGGAAAGGAACCUGAGUGUUGCCACUGCGGCUGGGGUGGCCAGCUUUUAUUCCCUUAUUUGUCUCUGCCCAUCUUCUGUUUUUGUCCUAUCAGAGUGCCCUUUUUUCAAUCUUCCCUGUGAUUGGCUACUUUUAGACUCCUGCUGAUUGGUCCAUUUUACAGAGCACUGAUUGGUGCAUUUUACAAACCUCUUGCUAGCUACAGAGCACUGAUUGGUGCGUUUUUACAGAGUGCUGAUUGGUGCAUUUUACAAUCCCUUUGUAAGACAGAAAAGUUCUCCAAGUCCCCACUGGACCCAGGAAGUCCAGCUGGCUUCACGUCUCAAUGCCAAGAGGCACAGAGUUCAUACAGCACUGUGGUUAAAUUAGCAGUGCAUAUCAUCAGUCCUAUGUGAGCUGUUUCUGGUCCUCUUUUCCAAAUGGAAUGGUCGAGCAUGCACUGGCAAACUAAGAGGCACAUGCCCCGUUCUUGGGAGACUGAAGGUUGGGUGGAAAGUCCCAGAUCUGUACCCUCUAAGGAGGGCCCUAUAGGCUGCUGU
rnacentral:lncRNA from 1 species